GACGAACGCUGGCGGCGUGCCUAAUACAUGCAAGUAGAACGCACAGUUUAUACCGUAGCUUGCUACACCAUAAACUGUGAGUUGCGAACGGGUGAGUAACGCGUAGGUAACCUGCCUGGUAGCGGGGGAUAACUAUUGGAAACGAUAGCUAAUACCGCAUAAUAUUGAUUAUUGCAUGGUAAUUGAUUGAAAGAUGCUAUUGCAUCACUACCAGAUGGACCUGCGUUGUAUUAGCUAGUAGGUGAGGUAACGGCUCACCUAGGCGACGAUACAUAGCCGACCUGAUAGGGUGAUCGGCCACACUGGGACUGAGACACGGCCCAGACUCCUACGGGAGGCAGCAGUAGGGAAUCUUCGGCAAUGGACGAAAGUCUGACCGAGCAACGCCGCGUGAGUGAAGAAGGUUUUCGGAUCGUAAAGCUCUGUUGUAAGAGAAGAACGGGUGUGAGAGUGGAAAGUUCACACUGUGACGGUAUCUUACCAGAAAGGGACGGCUAACUACGUG
rnacentral:rRNA from 1 species